UUCUUUUCGUUAGGAUGAAAAGUAACCCCUGCUCACUGAGAUUUAAAUAGCUGCAGAGAUCUGUACUAAGGUAGCAUAAUCAAUUGUGAUGUUAAUUGCGGACUAGAAUGAAUGGGGAAAUUAUUAAUAACUUUAUUUUUGUUUUUGUUUCAAAUUUGGUUUAUAGUAAAAAUACUAUAAUUUGCUUUAGGGACGAGAAGACCCUAUAAAGCUUUUGAUAUUAGGUUUUAUUUGUAUUUAACAUAAUAUGUUAAUUGGGGCAAUUUUUUAGGAAAUGUAUAAUUUAAAACCUAUUUAUUAUUAUUUUGAAGAUCCGUUAUUAGCGAAAUAUGAAUAAGUUACUUUAGGGAUAACAGCAUAAUAUUUAUCAUAAAGAGCAUAUUUUUGGUAUUGGUUAUGACCUCGAUGUUGGAUUAAUUAAAUUUUAUGGAGAAAAUCCUAUAAAAAUAUGACUGUUCGUCAUUUAAAAAUUUACA
rnacentral:rRNA from 1 species